CCCUUUAGACGGGGACAACAUUCCGAAAGGGAUGCUAAUACCGGAUGUGACGCUCCUAUCGCAUGACGGGAGCGUGAAAGAUGGCUCUACAUGUAAGCUAUCGCUAAAGGAUGGGCCUGCGUCUGAUUAGCUAGUUGGUAGUGUAACGGACAACCAAGGCGAUGAUCAGUAGCCGGUCUGAGAGGAUGAACGGCCACAUUGGGACUGAGACACGGCCCAG
rnacentral:rRNA from 1 species